UACGAAGGGGGCUAGCGUUGUUCGGAAUUACUGGGCGUAAAGGGCGCGUAGGCGGCCGUUUAAGUUAGGUGUGAAAGUCCUGGGCUCAACCUGGGGACUGCACUUAAUACUGGAUGGCUUGAAUUCGGGAGAGGAUAGCGGAAUUCCCAGUGUAGAGGUGAAAUUCGUAGAUAUUGGGAAGAACACCGGUGGCGAAGGCGGCUAUCUGGACCGACAUUGACGCUGAGGCGCGAAAGCGUGGGGAGCGAACAGG
rnacentral:rRNA from 1 species